rnacentral:rRNA from 1 species
GGCACCUUCGGUGUCCGAGUUGUAAUCUCUAGAAAUGUUUUCCGCGUUGGACCGCACACAAGUCUGUUGGAAUACAGCGGCAUAGUGGUGAGACCCCCGUAUAUGGUGCGGACGCCCAGCGCUUUGUGAUACAUUUUCGAAGAGUCGAGUUGUUUGGGAAUGCAGCUCAAAUCGGGUGGUAAAUUCCAUCUAAAGCUAAAUAUUGGCGAGAGACCGAUAGCGAACAAGUACCGUGAGGGAAAGAUGAAAAGCACUUUGGAAAGAGAGUUAACAGUACGUGAAAUUGUUGGAAGGGAAACGCUUGAAGUCAGACUUGCUUGCCGAGCAAUCGGUUUGCAGGCCAGCAUCAGUUUUCCGGGAUGGAUAAUGGUAGAGAGAAGGUAGCAGUUUCGGCUGUGUUAUAGCUCUCUGCUGGAUACAUCUUGGGGGAUCUGAGGAACGCAGU